rnacentral:rRNA from 1 species
AGCCUGACGAGAUAGCAAUAUCAGGGUACACAGGUGCUGCAUGGCUGUCGUCAGCUCGUGUCGUGAGAUGUUGGGUUAAGUCCCGCAACGAGCGCAACCCUUGUGUCCUGUUGCCACCCCGGCGAGAGUCGGGAGCACUCGGGACAGACUGCCUCGCUUAAACGAGGAGGAAGGUGGGGAUGACGUCAAGUCAGUAUGGCCCUUACGGCCAGGGCUGCACACGUACUACAAUGCCCGGCACAAAGGGAAGCAAGAGCGUAAGCUGGAGCAAAUCCCCAAAAACCGGGCCCAAUUCAGAUUGUCGUCUGCAACUCGACGGCAUGAAGUUGGAAUCGCUAGUAAUGGCGCAUCAGCUACGGCGCCGUGAAUACGUUCCCAGGCCUUGUACUCACCGCCCGUC